rfam:Lactobacillus plantarum WCFS1 complete genome
UUUACGACUCUGAGAAGGAAUAGUAGUGGCUGGUGUUUUGCAGAAACUCCGUGGUAGUUGCAAACGGGGAUUCACCAAUCAUGAACUCACCUUCGAGUCUUCCGGCUGAACAAGAUUGUAGGUACGGACGUGGUUUCGCGUUAAGAUUCUCAAGAGGCCACGGUAACGUGGAAUCAUAGGUGGUACCGCGGAACCCGUUUUCGUCCUAUAA